rnacentral:rRNA from 1 species
AUACGGAGGGUGCAAGCGUUAAUCGGAAUUACUGGGCGUAAAGCGUACGUAGGCGGUUUAUUAAGUCAGAUGUGAAAGCCCCGGGCUUAACCUGGGAACUGCAUUUGAAACUAGUAGACUAGAGUAUGGUAGAGGGGGGUAGAAUUCCUAGUGUAGCGGUGAAAUGCGUAGAUAUUAGGAGGAAUACCAGUGGCGAAGGCGGCCCCCUGUACCAAUACUGACGCUGAGGUACGAAAGCGUGGGGAGCGAACAGGAUUAGAAACCCCAGUAGUCC